UACGUAGGGUGCGAGCGUUGUCCGGAAUUAUUGGGCGUAAAGAGCUCGUAGGCGGUUUGUCGCGUCGAAUGUGAAAACCCGGGGCUCAACCCCGGGCCUGCAUUCGAUACGGGCAGACUAGAGUUCGGUAGGGGAGUCUGGAAUUCCUGGUGUAGCGGUGAAAUGCGCAGAUAUCAGGAGGAACACCGGUGGCGAAGGCGGUUCUCUGGGCCUUACCUGACGCUGAGGAGCGAAAGCGUGGGGAGCGAACAGG
rnacentral:rRNA from 1 species